CUUUAUACACUGAAAAAAGUGAAACAUCAGUGCAAUCCAUUCAAAAUAUAUAUUUACAUUGGUCCAAUGGAAAAUUGUGAUUUUCAGUUUAUACCUUCUGUUUUCACUUUGCCUCAAAGUAAGUGUUACGCCCUCUAGACAAACUUUAAAACAUUACUUUUACUUGAAUGGUAGUUUAAGGUUAAACCAAAGUUUUGGGGUGUCAUGUGAUCAUGUGACGUCAUUACGUCUCGGUACAUCUCAGUCGUUGAAAAUUUCUGCUGUCCGCCAUUACCUCGCUUCGCAAGCAAAGGACCAUCUCCAUGUGCGAGUCUGCGAGAAAACUCAAUUAAACAAGGUGCCCUCUUUCUGGAAUCAUUAACCACUGCAGAAUUUGGUUGUCCAGAGGGAUGAAGCUGAAACAGAGCUUGCAAGUUUCACAAUGGCUGUGUUCAUCAUCAGGGAAGAGGGUGAUUCCAACCACCACAUGACAUUGGUAUAGUCAUUGAAGGUGUGAAAGUCCUGAACAGGUUGCCAUCAGUCGCACAUGCAUGUGCCAUGUUAUUUGGCCUAAUUUAUGUGCUGAACUUGAACUAUC